CGCCGAACAGCUAGCCCGCCCUCCCCCCUAACAAACAAACAUAAAUAAUCCCUAAUACCCUAGACAACACAAAACAAACACAUUUUCCCAUCCUAGUAUGAGCGACAGAAAAG
rnacentral:rRNA from 1 species